CUGGAAGAAAGCCAGUUUGGUCCUUAUGAAUCUCCCCUACCAACACUCUCUUCAGUCUUUUUGCCAUAAUGUCUGCAAAAAUUUUGUAAUCCACAUUGAGUAAUGAUAUAGGGCGGUAGUUUUUAACCUGGUUCUUUUCAGUUUCAGUUUUCGGUAUAAGUGAAAUAAAGGCUUCUUUCCACGACUCUGGUGCCUUUUUCCCCUCCAAAAUUUCAUUGCAUACUUCCUUCAGUGGUUGUACUAGCCAUUCCUUCAACGCUUUAUAAUAUCUGGCGGUCAAACCAUCUGGUCCUGGAGAUUUUCCCAAUUGCAUCUUCUGAAUGGCACCCUCUAUUUCUUGUCCUGUUAUUUUCUCAUUCAAAAUCCUUCUGCUUUGCUCUGAAAUUUUUGGUAAUCCAUGUUUCUUAACAAAUUCUUCUAUUUCCUGUUCGUUGACUGGCCCUUGUGCAUAUAAUUUCCUGAAGUAACUUUGAAAACAAUUACUUAUCUCGUUUGGUUUGUGGAUAAUUUUUCCAUCCACUUCUAAACUUGUCACAGUGUUCAGUUUUUGCCUCUUUUUCAAUUGCCAUGACAGAAAUUUCCCACAUUUAUCUGCUGAUUCAAAUGUCUUUUGUCUCAUUUGCUUUAUUUUCCAUUCUAUCUCUUGAUUCAUCAAUUCCAUAUAUUGCACCUGAUAGUGCUUUAUUUCUCUCAGAAUCUCAUGGGACUUUGGUUUAGACCUCAAUUUCUUUUCACCUUCUUUUAUUUUUUCCAGAAUUUUUUCUUUCCUUUCAUUUUGAUUUUUCCUCUUUAUGGAGUUCUGUUGUAUUAGAAAACCUCGCAUCACGGCCUUACUUGCGUCCCAGAUUAUUCUUUUUCCACUUCUGUUCUCAAAUUUAUCUCAAAGUAAUCUUUCAGUGUUUUUUGGGCCUUCUUAUAAAUCUCUUCAUCUCUAAAUAGGGUGUCAUUCAUUCUCCAUCUAAAGGAUCCAGUUGAUGCUAGUUUCAUCUCCAUCUUUACAGCAUUAUGGUCGGAGCAAGUCUUUGAGCAGAUUUCUACCUUUUUGAUCCUUGGCGCCAUACUGCUAGUUACCCAAAUUUGGUCAAUUCUUGUCCAUGUCAUUUUUGCUUCAGAGAAAAAAGUUCCCUCUCUCUCAAGAGGGUUCCUUGUUCUCCAAAUGUCAAUCAAGUCCAUAGUUUCAGUCAUUUCAAAAAAAGUCUUUGGUAGUCUCCCUUCCUUGGAAAUUACUUGUCUUUGUGCUUUGUCCAUAUUUGUGGAAACUACACCAUUCAUGUCUCCCAUCAUUACUACUCUAUAGUCUAAAUAGUCCAUUAAAGUCUCAUGCAGCUUCUUAAAGAAUUCCGCCUUCCCGUCAUUUGGUGCAUAAAUUCCGACUAUCAAGAUUUUUCUCCUUGAACUUGUAUUUCAAUUGCCAGGUAUCUUCCUUGUUCAUCUUUAAAUAUCAUCUUUGGGGCCAAUUUUUCUUUUGCAUAGAUCACCACGCCUCUUUUCUUAACUUUGUCUGAUGAAAUAAAUUCCUGUCCAAGUCUCUUGUUUACCAAUAAUUUCCUAUGUGUCCUGGUCACAUGGGUCUCUUGUAGACAUAUUAGGUCUAAUUGUUCUCUUUUCAAAAUAUGAAAAACUUGACGUCUUUUUCGGGGAAGGUUCAAACCAUUACAAUUCCAACUAAGAAGCUGCAGAGACAUUUUGUUAUUUAGGUACCUGUUCCACCGACUGCUCCUAACUUUUGUUCAUCUACAGAUGGUGGUAUGAGUCCAAAUGACAAGUUUGCAAUGUCUGUCACUCCUUUUUCUUGUAUUGUUGUUUCUACUGUUCCUUUCUGCAAGUCCUCCUGAUAUCUCUCCAAAAACUGUUCUUUAUCUUGAACUGUUCUUAUUUUGACCUUCCUUCCUUUGAAAGUAAAAGACAAUCCUUGUGGAAACUCCCACCUGAAGGGUAUGAUAUUUUUCUUCAGCAGGUAGACCAAAUCUUUAUAGAAGGCUCUCACCUCCAAAAUAUAUUUAGGGAUAUCUUUAAAAAUUUGUACUUGACUAUUUUCAAUCUCCAAUGCCUUUUGGUAAUGCAAGUUCAAUAUUUUAUCUCUUUCUCCUUUGGAUCUCAAUGUGAUCAAACAAUCCCUUGGCUUCUUACCUUGCCUCCUGCCCAGCCGAAAAGCUGUUGUUAUUUCAAGAUCUUCUUCCUGCAGCUCCUUUUGCCAAAAUUCCAUAAAGUUCUGUGUAAGGAAGUCCACAAGGCUAUCUCCCUCACUCUCGGGAACCAAUCUCAAUUUCAGAUUUCUCUCUUUUCUCUGUAAUUCCAGCAAAGAUAGGGCUGCAUCAUGUUCAUUCACUUUUUUUGUAAUCGGCACAAGCUCCUCCCUUGUCUCCUCUGCAGUAUUUUUGCACUUUCAGCAAUCUUUCGUGUUUCAGAACUUUAUUUAAUUAAUUUAUUAAUAGAUUCUGUAUUAGAUGUUACACUUGCAGUAUUCAAGUCCAAUCUUGCUGUCAGUUCUGUCAAUUUUUUUGAAUUUUCCGUAGAUAGCUUUGUCAGUGCUUCUAAAGAUUGGUUUAUUUUGAGCAGUGCCUGUGUCAUUGAAUCCAUAGAUGCUGUUGCCACUUUUUCCUGUGCAGCUGGUGGUAUGCCAGAUAUUGAGCCCCUUUUCUUUUGUGUCUGUUUUGCUUUGGAUCUAGUUGUUAUCUCUUCUGCUGGACCACUCAUAUCCUCAAGGUCGUUCUCACAGGAAAGACUUGCAAGUGGAAAAUCCCACUGUUUCUUUUUCACUAUAACAGUUUCUCUUUAUACCCUCUAGAGGGAGCAUUUAAUUGUAUCCAAGUGAAGAGAGAAAGAACAAAGGAACAUAGAGCAAUCAACAAAAAAUCCAAGAGUCCACAGUAAAAGUUUCUGUCGCACUUUUUCAGUAUAGUCACAAGUUCAACAAAGUAAUUCCAUUAAAGUCCCGUAACUUUGUCUCAGACAAAACCCCAACUUUGUAUCCAGUCUAAACUGACAGUUCACUUUCCCAGUGCCUUACUCAGGCAGUCCGUUCAGGGGAUUUGGCAGUGAAAGAUGUUUUUUCCUCAGUUAAUUUCAGGCAGAUUAACAGUGUCCAAUUUUCUUCCCCCCUUCUCCUGCUUACUGGGGGGAAGUUUAAGUCAAAUGUCAGGUUUGACAGCUCAAAGAUAAUUUUCUUUCAAAUGCAGCUUUACUCUUUCGUUGCUUUAAUUGCCAUGCAGAUCGGGGAGGCAGACUUCCUUAAUUUAUGCCUUUCCCGUUUUCAACCAAAUUUCAGAAUUUAAAUUUAAAUGUCCCGUUCAAUCCCUCCGUCUUACUCACGGGGUUUACAGUCGAAUUUAUAGUUCAGGAAGGAAUCGGCGCUCUCCGUUCAUGGCGAUGCGGCUUCACUCCACGAGCUGGGUUGCGACUCUCAGCACCGCGCUCACCCCCGAUGCCGCUCCGUAGCCUUUAAAAAGGCUCUUUCACAGUACCGAGGGGCGCAAAAGGUGCCCACCGAGUCUCCUUGUUCACAGGCUUCAGCGCCUGUGAUUUUAGGGGUCCCCCGCUCGCCGUAGCGGGUCAGACCCGAACUCGCGAAGCAGUCCUCCUCCGGAGCUCGAAGCGAGGACCGCCAUUAAACGCUGGCGCCGACCGGAAGUC
rnacentral:lncRNA from 1 species